rnacentral:rRNA from 1 species
UACGUAGGGCGCAAGCGUUAUCCGGAAUUAUUGGGCGUAAAGAGCUCGUAGGCGGUUUGUCGCGUCUGCCGUGAAAGUCCGGGGCUCAACCCCGGAUCUGCGGUGGGUACGGGCAGACUUGAGUGCAGUAGGGGAGACUGGAAUUCCUGGUGUAGCGGUGAAAUGCGCAGAUAUCAGGAGGAACACCAAUAGCGAAGGCAGCGCGCUGGGACGUUACUGACACUGAGGCGCGAAAGCGUGGGGAGCGAACAGG